AUAUCUGUUGUCACCUAUCGUGGUAAAUAAGGCGUGGAUAGAGCACGGAAAAGCUGUGUAUAACACAGCAAAGGCGGGGUUCUCCGCUGCCCGUUGGCAUGGGCAGUAGGGUUAAGUGGGCCCAUAUCCGUGGGCCCCACCUCAUCAACGGCUCUCAAAGUACUUCCCGGGACUAAAUACCCCGAGGUGGGAAACAGAGGCCUCUGCCACCGGACAUCGCUACCAUUUGCCCCUACGGGGGGUCGGUCUUGUCUGGGCACCCGGCAGAGCCCAUCCACAAGCGCACGAUGGACUUCAGACCUAUCAGCUAGACGGUAGGGUAUUGGCCUACCGUGGCGAUGACGGGUACAGAGGAUUAGGGUUUGAUCCUGGAGAGGUAGCCUGAGAAAUCGCUCCCACUUCUAAGGAAGGCAGCAGGCGCG
rnacentral:rRNA from 1 species